rnacentral:lncRNA from 1 species
UGGUGAAGGAUGGGGAUCACCAGGCAGGCCCAGAACUCCAAAAAAACUUUUCAGAAGAUUCUGUGCCAUACAGGAGGACCUGGGUCCUCCUGUGUGGCAAAGAAUCUUUUGAAAAUUACCAUGCAGCUAUCCAACUGCCUUAUACAGAGCAUACUACUGCAAUCACAUGUCCUGAUCUGUUUCGGAGUGGUCUGUGGUUGCUUCGAGGUUCCCGGAAUGUGUAUUGGUUUUGGUGAGUUGCCCUCAAUGCGUUGCGGUUGCCUCUUGAUAGCCGCAGAGUGAAAUAAUGUUGAGCACUGGUGUUUGGUCGUUUGGAACUGGCCGCAGUGCAUUGUGGCUGUUUUUUUUGGUGGUUGUGUGGUUUCAGUGUUUGGGAG